ACUGAAAUACAAAAAAAAACACCAAACAGUUUGGCAAACAAAAAUAUAAUAAAUCGAUAUUUUAAAUACACGAAAUGAGACACAGAUCUAGAGAUACCGGAAGACAAGAGUGCGGUGGAGGUAGACCGACUUGUUGUUGAAGGUUUUGUCAGGACCAGCGGAGGAGAUGUUUUCUCUAUCCCCUUAUUAGGGUUUCGCUUUUUAACGGGCUUACCAAAAUAUUUAUGUGGGUCGAAUAAUAGAUUAUUAUUGGGCCUGUUUCGAUUGAAUUAGUAUAUAAAUAUUUUUCGGGAACAAGCAAUUUUGGAGCAAAUAUUAAGCUAUUAAAUAGUAGAGCUAGAAAAAAUAAUUCAAUGUAAGUAGGCUUCGUCCCAUUUGAUCCACGGUGAAGUGAAUGCGGGUCAAACGGUCUAAAAUUUUCAAAUUACGGAUGCAUAUUGAGUAUAUCUUAGACAAAGUAGGUGUAUGUUGUUAAAUAAAAAAUACAGAUAUCUCACAACAAAUAUUUUUUUUAAAAAAAAAUUAUUAUAUAAAAUGAAAAUUAUAAAAAAUUAAUUAUAAAAUACAUAUAUUUAUAUUAUUUUAAUAAAAAUAAAUAAAUUAUUGAAACUAAUAUUUAUAUUAUUAUUACUAUUAGUGAAAUAUAUGGAUCAAAAAUUUAACAAAGAAAAUUGGUUAAUU